rnacentral:rRNA from 1 species
ACGCUCGACACCUACGUGAGGCAGCAGUUGGGAAUAUUGGACAAUGGAGGAAACUCUGAUCCAGUGACGCCGCGUGAAGGAAGAAGGUCUUCGGAUUGUAAACUUAUUUUGUCAGGGAAGAAAAAAUGACUGUACCUGAAGAAAAAGCACCGGCUAACUACGUGCCAACAGCCGCGGUAAUCUGAGCGGGCGUGGCAAGGC